ACAGAGGGUGCGAGCGUUGUCCGGAAUCACUGGGCGUAAAGGGCGCGUAGGCGGCUCAGUAAGGUUGCGGUGAAAGCCCGGGGCUCAACCCCGGGUCGGCCGUGGCAACUGCUGGGCUGGAGCACUGUAGAGGCAGGCGGAAUUCCGGGUGUAGCGGUGGAAUGCGUAGAGAUCCGGAAGAACACCGGUGGCGAAGGCGGCCUGCUGGGCAGUUGCUGACACUGAGGCGCGACAGCGUGGGGAGCAAACAGGA
rnacentral:rRNA from 1 species